rnacentral:rRNA from 1 species
GAUGAACGCUGGCGGCGUGCUUAACACAUGCAAGUCGAACGAAGACAUCUGAGUGCUUGCACUUGGAUGGACUGAGUGGCGGACGGGUGAGUAACGCGUGGGUAACCUGCCUUAUACAGGGGGAUAACAGUUGGAAACGACUGCUAAUACCGCAUAAGCGCACGGUAUCGCAUGAUACAGUGUGAAAAACUCCGGUGGUAUAAGAUGGACCCGCGUCUGAUUAGCUAGUUGGUGAGGUAACGGCCCACCAAGGCGACGAUCAGUAGCCGGCCUGAGAGGGUGAACGGCCACAUUGGGACUGAGACACGGCCCAAAACUCCUACGGGAGGCAGCAGUGGGGAAUAUUGCACAAUGGGGGAAACCCUGAUGCAGCGACGCCGCGUGAGUGAUGAAGUAUUUCGGUAUGUAAAACUCUAUCAGCAGGGAAGAAAAUGACGGUACCUGACUAAGAAGCCCCGGCUAAAUACGUAG